rnacentral:lncRNA from 1 species
AUUUUAUAAUGCUGUACUUCCCUCACAGGUAAAAAAGCUGGCUCUCACUUAUGUGACUUCUGAGUGCUGCGUAAUCUGCCACUGAGACAAGGAACACUGAGGAAAGAGCAGUUUGGAAUAAUUGAAAAAGAAUGUUUUAUGCUUAUAUAACAUGUUUACCAUUGCUGUGGUUUGUGAAACCAUGUAUCAGGCUGCAGCUCUCUGGGGUGCUCCAGGAGCUGCCUACACUGCUGAACUGCCAGCCUGAAGGACUGAAGAGAUACAGCACACAAAAAAGUUUUUCUCAUUUUGCACCUUUCUUCAGAAUCCCCAUUACCCACCAAGCCUCCUACUUGUGAGGAAGAUCCUAUUUCUUGUCUAGGCGCUGUUUCUUGACCUUCACACACAAAAAUGGAGAAAGGAUGGAAGGGAGGAACACAGCUUCAAGGGAGCAGACUACAACAGCAAAUUGGAACAAGCACGGGUGCAGCUACCAGGUCUGGGUGUACCUGGGGGAAACUAGUUUGUCUGCAGUGAGGAAGUGUAUCCUCUAAGGAAGCAUCAUCAGCCAGCCUCCAGAAGGGACAAGCACCAGUGGAGUUAAAAUAUUACUCCCUAGGGGUGACCAUUCACAGUCUAUGGAAAUUGUUAUGCAGCCAAAGGGUUUGCAUGAACUUCACUUCUGAGAAGACAGAAGAUAGCUGAUGCUAAGAGAUAAUUCUUGAGCUACUACUGGACAUCCAUAGUGCUUUACUUUCUGGACACAAACACCCAGGUCAGCCAUUUAGUUGUGUGUUCUUGACCACAGAGACAUUAUUUUAUGUUUUCAGCAUUAUUUUAUGUUCACAGACAAAGCAGGAGAAACUUCAAGCAGGACAGCACACCUGUGGUAGUCUGAGUGACCUUGGUAAACUGGCACAAAACAACUCCGCUCAUUAAAAAUCAGAAGUGAUAGCAUCUGCACUAACCAAAUGUGCUCUAACUGAGCUCCAUAUUCACUUUUCUCCAUAAUAACAACACUCUGAAUGCAAGCAACUGAGCAAGGACUCAGGAGCUUUUCUCUUACUUACUGCUGUAUUGUGUAAGCUCCAUCUCUUUUCAUACUUACUCCUCAUCCUACAUUUAGAACAAGUGGAAAACUGUGACUGCAGAUGCCUUGGGAUGAGUGCACAGAGUUCAGUCUCCUCAGGAGAGUGAGUCGUGAACAACUGCUGAGCAAGUCACUCAGUAGACAAUACUGAUAUGGAUGGUAAUCCCAUACCGAGACCAUAAGAGGUAACAAAGCCUUAACCAUGACUGAAAGGACAAAAUGACCUGUUUAGAGUAACAAAGAGGAGAAACUAUUCUAAAUGGAGAAAG